rnacentral:rRNA from 1 species
GACGAACGCUGGCGGCGUGCUUAACACAUGCAAGUCGAACGGAAAGGCCCUGCUUGCAGGGUACUCGAGUGGCGAACGGGUGAGUAACACGUGGGUGAUCUGCCCUGCACUUCGGGAUAAGCCUGGGAAACUGGGUCUAAUACCGGAUAGGAGCCAUUUUUAGUGUGAUGGUUGGAAAGUUUUUGCGGGUUAGGAUGAGCUCGCGGCCUAUCAGCUUGUUGGUGGGGUAAUGGCCUACCAAGGCGGCGACGGGUAGCCGGCCUGAGAGGGUGGACGGCCACCUUGGGCCUGAGAUACGGAGCAGAAUCCUACGGGCGGCAGCAGUGGGGAAUAUUGCACAAUGGGCGCAAGCCUGAUGCAGCGACGCCGCGUGCGGGAUGACGGCCUUCGGGUUGUAAACUACUUUCGAUAGGGACGAAGCUUUUGUGACGGUACCUAGAUAAGAAGCACCGGCUAACUACGUG